rnacentral:sRNA from 1 species
GAAGGAGAAGGAGUAG